rnacentral:rRNA from 1 species
AGCAAACUCUGAAUACCGUAGAGUGCGAGCUUGGGAGACAGACAUCGGGUGCUAACGUCCGGUGUCAAGAGGGAAACAACCCAGACCGCCGAUUAAGGUCCCAAAGACAUAGUUAAGUGGGAAACGAGGUGGGAAGGCUCAGACAGCCAGGAGGUUGGCUUAGAAGCAGCCAUCCUUUUAAAGAAAAGCGUAAUAGCUCACUGGUCGAGUCGUCCUGCGCGGAAGAUGUAACGGGGCUCAAACUAUGCACCGAAAUCGCGGAUAUCCUUUGGAUAUGGUAGGAGAGCGUUCUGUAGGCCGUUGAAGGUGUCUCGUGAGGGAUGCUGGAGGGUAUCAGAAGUGCGAAUGCUGACAUGAGUAGCGAUAAGGGAGUGAAAGCUCCUCGCCGAAGCCCAAGGUUCCUGCGCAACGUUCAUCGGCGCA